CACAGACAGAACAAAGAGACAUUAAACAUUUAAAUGCAAUUAGGAAUCGCCAUAUUUUAUGAUAAAACAAUUAAAUAAAUAUUGUCAACAGCACUGUGAUAAAAUAAGUACCGUGAAUGCACUGUAAAUCUUUUUGGACAAGAGCAUCUACGAAAUGCAUGCAGAAAUAAUGAAAUAGCAUGAAAACCUCUUUUAAAUAAAGUUUGAUUAAUGCAUAAAUCCAACUAAUUGCAAUUCCAGUGAGCGAACGGGCCUGAAAUUAAAUAAUUUCGUUCCUAAUGUGUCAGAAAGCAGCAAUAAAUUACGUUUCUAAGAUGAUGGAUAUUGCUGCUCGUGGAUGGGGUGCUUUUCACGCAUUACACCACUAGAAGGCGCUAAUGAUCCUCAAGCCGUUCUGCGCCACACCCGGAGCAAACGCACAGCACACACACCUCACCUAAAAUCCCACUGUCAGUAAUCACAGAGCCAUUAAACGAGACACCAUCACUAAUACUGCCCCCUAAUGAGCAAACCCACUCCAAUAUCAGUGUCAUUAAGCCAGGCAGUGACUGACUGCUAAAUCCCUCACAGUAAUGCGGUAAGAGUUACAAAUGCAAGCACUGCAAUUCACCAGACCUAGCUGCAAACACUGAACUAACAAUAUAUAAUAAAUAAUAAGUAUAUCAUCAAAAUCUAGGUGUAAAUUGAUAGCAAAAUGUACAUUUACAUUUACAUUUAGCAGACGCUUUUAUCCAAAGCGACUUACAUUGCUUUAUCCUAUACAUUUUACAUAGGUAUUUGCAAUCCCCUGGGAUCGAGCCCACAACCUUGCGUUAAUGCUCUUACCACUGAGCUACAGGAAAACCAUGUAAUGUAAUAUUGAUAAUUUACGUAGACAAUAAAUAUAUCAAAUUUGUAAUAUAGUUUAUAUAAAAAAAUGAAUUUAACAUGUUAACGGACUCUACCAGAUGUGGCGACAAAUGCACGUCGUAACCAUUUCCAGCAAACUUUUACUUUUAUGUUAAAACACACGACAAUAAAAAUAGAUAUUUCUAGGGGUUUUGUUUUAAGGAAAGUUUAUGUUAUCAAUAUAAUCCACAUUUCGUAAAUUUUGGGCCGUUAUUGUGCAGAAGAAGGUAAGCCUGUCCCCCCAGCCAAUACAUAACGUGUUUGCGUGUUCACACGCAGCUGCACAGACCGAUCGUUAUUUGACAUCAAACUACCGCGAGAGCGAUUAAAAAACAAACGGAUCCGUUUCCUCUCGCGGUAUUUUGAUAUAGACCCAUCGGUUAGCGCAUCACCACCACAUCCCGCACGCUUCUCCCGCUCUCGUGCGGAGUGAAUCAAAUAUUAAACAUGAUAACGCCCAUGAAGACGAGUUGAAGUAGACAUAUCAUUUUUUAAAGUACUUUAAUAACACAUUAAACGUCUCAGUGCUUUCUCGAGAAGAGCUAAUUUAUUCAUGAAGUGCCAGAUUCGCUGAGGUAAAAGAGGCAUUUUUCAGUCACAUGACCUUCACUGGAAGAACACCACUCCUCAAGACCCAGAAGGAAAUGAAAAACGCACAAAGGCGCACACGCAGAGAAAAACAAGAGCAGAGUGAGGCAAAGAACAUUGACAUGAAAAACCUGCCUAUCAGUCACGGGAGGCAGGUCUCGGGGCAAUGGACCUUUCAAGGUGAGAUAGCAGUAGUAGUUGGGGGAGGACCGGACUCGGGGCAGAGGGUGUGAACCUUUCAGACAGUAACAGAGAGAUCCGAAGAAUGUCAACAAUAGUUCUACAGACUCAAGUAAUCUCAAGAGACAGGUUUGCACUCACACACGUCUUUGUUUUAGGAAGUGUUCUUUAGCCAUUAACCAUUUUGGUGGGCCAGGGAAUGUUUCACUGCAAUGGAUGUGAUGCACAAGAAAUUGUCCUUUUUAUGUCCUUUUGUUUUUGGAAUUUUAAUGAAACGGGAAAUGUGUUUUUGUAUAUUUAAGAGGAUGGCAUUAGCAGUGGCACGUUAAUUGGAUCAAUACUCAUCAAUCUUACAUAAUUAAUUGUGUUAGAAUUUACCGGGAUUUAUGCAAAAAUAGUUCAGAGAAUUUGA